AUCAACAGACCCCAUUACCGAGAUAUGACAACUCUUUUUUAAAGAAGUAGUCAAAAUAAUUGUAUCGAAUCCAUUUUCUAUUUGCUGAAUUCAUUCCUUGCGUCUACUGGGCUAGGUGUUCUUCCCUUAGAAAGGAGCUGUUCGCCUCGAGGCUGUACUAUUCUCCUCUCCCGACUUGAACAAGUCUUUCUGGAAUAGCCAUAUCAACCGCACUACAUUAAGAAAAUUCUUUGAUUUUCUUUUAGAGCACGAAGGCUUAUCGAGCCUCUAUAAAGAGAGGAUUUUAAGUUACCUUGAAUAAAAACCUAAAUCUAAAUGAUGAUUCAGCUUUAACAAUGGGAGACUGGCUGCCUGGCUUCAUCCCUUUCUUUUGAACCAUAAACUUCGGCAAGAGAUAGGCUUAUUGCCUUUUCCGCUCCUGAACCAGUACUUAGAUAAAAGGAAAAAAAGGAGGUAGGGCAAAAGCAUAAGGUAAGCUCCUCGGUAGCGGGAAAGAAAGAAGCACCUGUUGCGAGCAAGUAUGACCAGAACCUUCUUUUCUUCCCAUGAUGUGUUCUAUCAGCGAGUGUUCUAACGGCGAAAGAGAAGCGGAACUGUCCUUUUUAGUCUAAAGAUGUACGCUUAACGCGAAAGAGUUCAGGAGGCUAGACGGUAGCUAGCUUGACUCUAUUCUCCCCCAGAAGCUUUGUGAUAGGAGAAUCUUCGUAUUUCCACUGGAUGGAUCGAUGGGAUGGAUAGAGUGAGUGCCCUUCUCCUCUCUUGCUUGUCCGAAGACUGGUCUCCAAUCCACUGACUAGCGGGAUAGUUUGGAGGAAAGAAUCGCUAUGAAUUAGAAGACAGUACCACCCUUCACUCGAGUAGGAGAAAAAUCUGCCCACUAAAACCGGUCUUCAGAAGAAGAGCUUCACCGGGCUAAACUCCUUCUUCCUCCCUCCCUUUUCUAAAUAGCAGAGUUAUCAGACGGGGGAACAGCUUCUCAUUCCCACCCUGGUAGUACGAAAAAGCCCUGGUUUAAAGCUAAAGGCGGUUGAGACUUUGAAAGUUUGAAAGAUAGAGCUUCAAUCUGUCUUCAAGGUAGAGGCAGCCCUUUAGAUACUUCGGUUUACUUCACUAAGGAACCUAGCUCCCUUACUCUUUCCCUAACAAACAGGCCAGGCCUUUCUUUUGGGACUGGAUCACCAUCCACCCUUACGAUGACACUCCUUUGACCGGUAACUUCUUUGUUUGCGGUUGCAACUGAGAUUGGUUCUUCUUCUUUUGCAGAGUGGAAGUGGACUGAGUCUCCGUCUCGAAUGCUCGAAUGUCCAGCUUCCCACCUUUUUGUAGAGUUGCCUUGGGACUCUACUUUAAUAGAAUAGGCUUAUAGCCUCCACCAAUACCAGUCCGUCUACCUGUUCAAUCUGCUUUCUUCCUUAUGUCUUCCCGACCCUGACCCUGCUGUGCUGUACCUGGUAAGAUCUUAACCUAUGCCCUCUGCUGCGCCAUUGAUGAAUGGAUUUCUUCGUUUUACUGAUACUAAGGUAGGUGCUUACCACGGGUAGGUUCAUCAAUCAAAUCUCGACGAAAGAGCUUGUAUGUAAAGAAAAGCUCAAAUUGUCCUUCGGUUUACUUCCCUUCAGUUAGCUAUAAAGUCCCAUUGGUGCAGCUCAUCAGCUUGCGUGAAAAGAAAAAAAAAGAAGAACGCACGUCUUCAAAGCGACAACAGGCUUCAGAUUCACCAGGAGUUUAAGUUACCUUCUCCAUUUGAUUUAGGGAAAGUAUGCUCCUGGCUUGCCACCCGAAGAAGGGAAUUCGGCAAUCGUCACUACCGCUACGCCCCUCGAGUUGGCUUUUUAGGUUAAGAAGAUUGAAUGUCAGAUUGAUUGAAUUGUCCACUUGCACCAGACACCCUAUCCUGCUGUUUGAAGCUCUCUUCCCAUGGGGGAAGAGGAAUAAGGCAUUGGCUGUUGAACCGAGUUCUUGUCCGAAGAAUAGCGCAUUGAUAGGUUCUAUUAAGAGAAUAGCCUA
rnacentral:misc_RNA from 1 species